GCACUGGCACGAGGCGGCUUCCGGUGCAGGACAGUGCCAAGGCUCCCACCGGGCCCUGGGCCUGGAUCCUGGCCUCCGGCACAGGCGGCAGCGCGAGGAAAUUUCAUCACAUGUGCAGAUGCAUAGGUCAUCACCAUGAUCAAGACACAGAUUUCUCCCAUCACCAGAGUUUGUGCUUACCCCUGCCUCAAGGUGAACUGUGUGAUUGUCCAUGGAGGAAGAAGGCAUGCAGGCUGAUGCUGUUAUUUCCACCCUGAGUGCUUGGCCGCACAAUCCUGCUCUGGGCUCUGUAACCCAUGGCAACAAGCGAAGGGAAGCAGGUGACUGCACAUGACAUCACACGCAUGCACGCACACACGCACAACACAGUUCUCUCUCCCUCCCUCUCUCUCUUGUGCAUGGGAUGCACAAAGGGGCCGUCUCCUCUAGCUAUAAUGUCAAUUAGUAGCACAGGCCUCAAGGAGCAGAAUUCUGGGUCUUUGGGGUCACAGUGCAUCAGUUCCUGACAAGCAGGGCCGUCUCUCCUUCAGCUCGCUCGAGCUCCUCAUAUUUCCCUAGAUAGCAAAGGAACCUGCAGCCCCGCACACACAGUGAGGCA